UGGAGAAUCUUGCACAAUGGGGGAAACCCUGAUGCAGCAACGCCGCGUGAAGGAAGAAGGCCCUUGGGUCGUAAACUUCUUUUCUAAGGGAAGAUAAUGACGGUACCUUAGGAACAAGUCCCGGCUAACUACGUGCCAGCAGCCGCGGUAAUACGUAGGGGGCGAGCGUUAUCCGGAAUUAUUGGGCGUAAAGAGUACGUAGGUGGUUUCCUAAGCAUGGGGUUUAAGGCAAUGGCUCAACUGUUGUUCGCCCUAUGAACUGGGUUACUUGAGUGCUGGAGGGGAAAGCGGAAUUCCUAGUGUAGCGGUGAAAUGCGUAGAUAUUAGGAGGAACACCAGUGGCGAAGGCGGCUUUCUGGACAGUAACUGACACUGAGGUACGAAAGUGUGGGGAGCAAACAGG
rnacentral:rRNA from 1 species